AUUGAACGCUGGCGGCAGGCCUAACACAUGCAAGUCGAGCGGAGCGGCGGACGGGUGAGUAAUGCCUAGGAAUCUGCCUGGUAGUGGGGGAUAACGUCCGGAAACGGGCGCUAAUACCGCAUACUAUCAGAUGAGCCUAGGUCGGAUUAGCUAGUUGGUGGGGUAAAGGCCUACCAGGGCGACGAUCCGUAACUGGUCUGAGAGGAUGAUCAGUCACACUGGAAAUAGGACACGGUCCAGACGCCUACGGGAGGCAGCGGUGGGAAAUAUUGGGCAAUGGGCGAAAGCCUGGUCCGGCCCAGCCGCGUGUGUGGAGAAGGUCUUCGGAUUGUAAAGCACUUUAAGUUGGGAGGCGUUACCAACAGAAUAAGCACCGGCUAACUUCGUGCCAGCAGCCGCGGUAAUUC
rnacentral:rRNA from 1 species